rnacentral:tRNA from 1 species
UGGCCAGUUGCUCAAUGGUUAGAGCGUUGGCCUGCCGAUCCAAGGGCCUGGGGUUCGAUUCCUGGUCAA